rnacentral:rRNA from 1 species
AUCCGGAAUUAUUGGGCGUAAAGAGCUCGUAGGCGGUUUGUCGGGUCUGACGUGAAAGUCCGGGGCUCAACUCCGGAUCUGCGGUGGGUACGGGCAGACUAGAGUGAUGUAGGGGAGACUGGAAUUCCUGGUGUAGCGGUGAAAUGCGCAGAUAUCAGGAGGAACACCGAUGGCGAAGGCGGUUCUCUGGGAAUGUCCUGACGCUGAGGAGCGAAAGUGUGGGGAGCGAACAGG